GUGAUGACAAAACGACAUAUACAACAGAAUAACUUAUGUUGAAUUUUGUUGUAUUUUUUUAAGUUUCAGCCUUGUCUGAU